UAUCAGGAGCCUGCCUUUCCCUGAACAGACAUCUUGAUCUUUUGCUUUACUUGUCUGAGCUAUUCAGGACGAUGAUGGAAAAGGUGAUUCAGAGGCAGCAUUGGCAGCAUCCUCCACUAUACCUGAAGACAACAGAUAAGAAAUCAGAAACAGAAUGAGGCUCUGAGAGCAACUAUGAAGGAAGAAGAAAAGAUCCUCAAGAGAACGAGCACAGGAGAUGGAACACUGGGUGCAG